rnacentral:rRNA from 1 species
AGAGCUCAAAUUUGAAAGCUGGCGUCUUCGGCGUCCGCGUUGUAAUCUCGAGACGUGUUUUCCGUGCGGCUCUCUGGACAAGUCCCUUGGAACAGGGCAUCGUAGAGGGUGAAAAUCCCGUACUUGCCAUGGAAGUACCGUGCUUUGUGAUACACGCUCCAAGAGUCGAGUAGUUUGGGAUUGCUGCUCAAAGUGGGUGGUAGACUCCAUCUAAAGCUAAAUAUCGGGGAGAGACCGAUAGCGAACAAGUACCGUGAGGGAAAGAUGAAAAGCACUUUGGAAAGAGAGUUAAAAGUACGUGAAAUUGUCGAAAGGGAAGCACUUGAAGUCAGCCAUGCUGCUUGAGACUCAUCCUGGCUUUUGCUUGGUGUAUUUCUCGGUAGCAAGCCAGCAUUGGUUUGUGUCGUCGGAGAAGCGUAUGGGGAAUGUGGCAUCCUCCGAUGUGUUAUAGCCCUGUGCAGGAUACGACGACAUAGACCAAGGAACGCAGUGUGCCCUCUGGGCGGGUCUUCU